ACUAAUGAUCAUACUACCAUGCUUCCCACAUGGGCCUCAUACAACUGUGCGAAAUGAACACAAACGCCUUCAAGAUUCACUUUAUAGUUGUACUGCAGAUUAGGUUGUUGAAUGUACUGUUACAAUAUGUAGCAGCAGUGAAAAGCACAUGGGCUAAGCAAAUAAUCAUCUCCAGACCCAAUCUACAAGGAAGAAAAAUGUGAUCUUCCUGCUCCUUCACUGAAGCAUCUGAUAAACAGCCUACAUAAAGACAAUAAAUAAACUUCACUUCAGCCACUUAACUUUUUCCGCCUGAUUCUCGAAGCUGGACUCAUUUAUCUCAACGGCUCUCAGCUCUUCUCUCACUGCGUUCCACCCUCACUGAUUUUGAGUAUCGCACUGAGAAGUCAAAGUAAACUUCCAUCUGGCGUGCUUUACAAACACUUUGUCACAACACAUAUGGGUCAGGAGCUGCAUCGGCACAAUUAUCCGUUAAUGGCCAAAGUGCCAAAAACAAAAGAAUACGGAAUAAGUUUGUGAGACAACCGCACUCAAGCUCACAGCGAAGGCACGGCGGAGGGAGGGAGAGAUAGAGCUGAAAGGAAAGACGAGAAAGCAUCUUCCAACAUCAGUUUUCAGCCUAAUGUUAAUAAUUUAUGUGGCUCUUGCUUUUUAUUAUUAUUAUUUAUUUAUUUACCACUUUCUUGUGCAGCAUCGUUCGCCGGGUUUCAAAAGGCAUCACGGACAGGCAUGGCAUCUCUCCAAAGUUUUGAGCGCACUUUCAAAAGGCUUUCUGCGCGUUUAUUUAUAUAUUUGGCCCUCCUUUACACUUGUCUUGUUGUUAUUUGGCGAACGCGAACACAUGAAGCUUUGAUGAGAAGCAAAGUUGACAUGUAUUCUUCUACCCUGACCCCAAGGAAAUCUAAAUAAAAAGUUAAAUAUUGUAUAGAGCCACUGAGGGCCUAUUCUCACUCACGCCUCUCAUUAAAUCUAUCCAAGUGUCAAUUAAAGUCAUUCAUGUGCCCACCAGCAGGGGUCAGGGGUGAGGGAGAGCGCCUGUACUGGGGGCGGGAGGUGCACUUGACCAUGACCCCAAAGUCAGCUUUCAUUGGACCGUUUGAAUAGCGCUGUUGAUGUGUGUUAUUGGCAGAGAUGAAAAGAGAAGUCAGUCAUGUUUGAAAAGAUUUGUAUGUUCCUCAAACCUUUGAACUCUCCAGUAGCACGUACCUGUUUUUGCUCACAACACUUUUUAUCGAAACCAAAAUAAGAACUAACUGAACCCACUUUGAACAGUCGGCUUUGACAAAGUUCAUCUACAGUGCUAUUUACAUUACAUAUAUUUUAAUAGUGCCCUUUAGAAGAGAGCGGAGGUCUAUCUCAAUACAAAUUCCACAUCUUUAAAUUUAGCAAAUAUUUAAUGCAUUGUAAACAACUGAUAAACUGCACAGAUAAGUUAGUAGACGCUUUGACGUUGUAUUGGGAGUGCGUCAUCACAAAUAAAAAGGAAUGAGGUCUUAUGAAAAAUGCGUGAAACUCUUUUAGCAGUGCAAAUUACUGUGGCCUUUAAGCCUUCAACUGUGACACCCAAAUAUCUAUAUACUAAAAAAUAUAUUUUGCUUAUAUUCAAUUUUAUAAUUAUAUAAAUAGCAACAAUAUACAGCACAUACAAAUUCCAUUUUUCUGACUAUUUCUAAAAUG